CAAGGAAUAAUGGAAAACGAAUGAAAACUGGUGAAACAGUGACAUAUUAUUAUUAUUAUUUUAUUCUUUCCAUUUUAUUCUUUUAUUAUAU
rnacentral:ribozyme from 17 species